rnacentral:lncRNA from 7 species
GCCAAGUCAAAAAGUAAAGAAUAACUCGAAGGAAGGAGUGGAUGGCAAGAAAUACAGAGAAAGCAGUGCAUAGCACAGCAGAGCAAAGCAAGGCAAAAUAGCAGCCAAAGCCACGAGAAUCAAGAAGUCAGUGAAGAGCAGGAAAGGAAUGGAGGAAUCUGUCCAGAGCUGUGCCCCUGCUUGCCACAGGAGCUGCGCGGGAGGAGAAGAACGUGGGCCAAAAGGAAUGGAGGAAUCUGUCCAGAGCUGUGCCCCUGCUUGCCACAGGAGCUGCGCGGGAGGAGAAGAACGUGGGCCAAAAGGAAUGGAGGAAUCUGUCCAGAGCUGUGCCCCUGCUUGCCACAGGAGCUGCGCGGGAGGAGAAGAACGUGGGCCAAAAGGUAAGAGGAGCUCCUUUGGGUUUGGGCUUGAAGCAAGCUGAGAAGCCAUGCCCGGGAGGAGGUGUGGGUAGCUACAGGCCACCUUGCUAUCUCCCCAAGAGAUGAGGUGUGUGGGCUAGGCACCGGGCAGGAGUGCUGGCCAGAAGCAAGCAUCUCUGUGGAGGAAGGCAAAGGGCGGAGGAGGUUCAAGGGGUAGCUACCGGGCAUGGCCUUGCUCAGCAAGGGGAGGAAAAGCCUGAAGGGCACGAGAAGGGGAUAGAGAAGGGCAGGCAGUAGGCGUGAAGCUGCGAGCAGAGUAGAGAGCAACUUGGCAGAGCAGCAAGCAGAGUAGGCAAGUGUUGAGGUUUGGCGUGAGUAGCAGCAAAAGCCCAGAGCAUCAAGAAGCAGGAAGUGAGGAGAAGGUAAGUGAAGGGCAGGCAAGGUAAUGGGAGGCAAAGGCAAGGGGAAAGGGGGGGGUAAGGGAGAAAGAAGGGAUGGGGAUGGGGAGGGGAUGGGUGAAGAGCAGAGCGGAGGGAAGGGCUGAGGGGAGGGCUGAAGGCAAACCUAUGAUGAAAAAAGAAAAGAAAAAAUAAAGAACAAAAAAUAUGAAAAAAAGAGAAAAAAGAAAAAAAAAAAAAAAAGAGAAAAGAAAAAAAAAAAAAAAUGAACAAAAAAGAGUAAAAGAGAAAAAAAUGAAAAAAAGAAAAAGAGAAAAGAAAAAAAAAAAUGAACAAAAAAGAUAAAAGAGAAAGAAAAAAAAAGAGAAAAAAGAGAAAAGAAAAAAAGAACAUGAACAAAAGAGAAAAAAGAGAAAGAAAAAAAAGAAAAAUAAAGAAAAGAGAAAAGAAAAAAGAAAAUAGAAAUAAAAAAGAGGACAGAAAAAUAUGAAAAAAAGAAAAAAAAGAAAAGAAAAAACAGUAGAUGAAAAAAGAA